AUACUGGUUUUCAAACUUCUAACUAAGAAAAGGGUAGUUCACAUGAGAAACUGGUUCAGUGUCGAUGCUGGGAGCCUUUCUUACCUUUCCCUCAACUAUGCAGUUCUGAUCCAUCACAGUCAAGGCCAUGGAGAUUUUACUGAGUUAUUACUUGGCCCGUGCUUUGCGCCAGGCUUAGAGUAGAAGAGAUGGAGUGGGGCUGGGGGCGGGACCCUGUGGGACGCUAGGUUUCCAUGCAAUUGGAGCCUCUGGCCAGUUCCUUCUGGGGCUGCGGGAGCUGGGAAGGGGGAGCCAUGACUAAGUCUUUCUGUCGCCUCUUUUCCUGUCCUGGGCUCAUGGUAGCCGCAGUGAGGGGGAGCAUGGGAAGUGAGCAGCUGGUGGGGCAGCCCUGUCCUGGUCUCGAGUGGGCCGGGCAGCAUCCCCGGGAGGAGGGGAGAGCAAAGUAUUUCCUGGGUGGCGACCUGGCCCCUCUCUGUGUCCCAAGUAAGUCUAAAGGAUCUAAGGUGACAUUUGACCAACUAGCCACAUCCCUUUAAUCUCCUUCCUCUUUGAGACCCCACUAAAACGACAACCAAGGAAUAAAAAAGUAUCAGUCUGCGAGGACAAAGAAAAUAGCAGAGUGACAACAGUGUCUUAGUGAUUUCAACUGCUUUAAGUACUUUUUGGGCGGCAGGAAGCAGCUGGCCAGGUGAAGGAAUUGAUGGAGCAGGUCCUUACUGAAAGUGUGUGGUCCUUACUGACAGUGUGUUCCCAGAGGUGGCCACACGCGGUGGUCAGAUGACCAGAUGCCUUGGCAUCCACUGUUCCAUCUGUGCAACGGAGUCUCGGUAUGACCUUGGCAAAGGCAGUUUCUGCUUUCUGAGGCUCGUUUGUUCCCCAUCUGUAAUAGAAAGAGACCGUACUAGAUUCUUAUCUGCUGGUGCCUGAAUUACCUGGAGUUUUCCUCCCCUGCCCCUCAACACGUAUAGGCACAUGUGUCUUGAUGUUGCUUCAGAAACGGGGCGAAGGUAUUUUUGCAUUUUUUGCUCUCCCAGGACACUUUCAGAGCCACUGCUGCAGAUGGUCUCCAAGGGAGUUUUCAACUCCGACACGCCAGGACUCCCACGCAGGUGUUAGGAUGGAGAAUACACGGAAUGGAGGGGUUGUAAGGAUGUAAGACCUUCAUGUGGGAGAUCCAGGCACAGAAGGGCUUCAAAGGAGGCUGAAGGCCUAUCUGUGGGGACAGCAGAAGGGCCUUUACAGAGACAAUGACAUUUGCAAUGGAUAGAAUUCACAGAGGGAGACAAGGAGGAGGGCCCUGCAGGUGGAGGUUACGGUGGCAGCAAAUCCCGGAGAUAAGAAAGCAUGUGACCUGUUCAGAGACUUGCAAAUAUUGCAACAUGCGGGAAUCCAUGGAGACAUCACAUGGACCACGAAUGGCCAGGUCAGCAGCUUGCACUUCAUCCCAUUGACCAUGGGAAGCUAUCACGUUGGCCUUGUGAUUUUAACACACGGAUAUGGCCCAGCUACUUUUUCUUGAGCACCUGCUAGUGUUACUUACUCCACGCACUGCACACCAUGUCUUCCUGACCUGGCCACUUGGUCGCUGGACAGUCACACAUCUCUCCAGCCAUUUCCUCACUCCGGGCACUGUCCUCCACGCUUCGCUGUCCUUACACAAGCUCCUUCCUCUGUGGAGAGGCCGCCUUCCACUUCAGCCUUCCUGCGGGAGACUCUGCUUGAAGAACAUUCCCCUGGGAGGCCUCUCCCCUGUGGGCAGCUCCCAGCCUGCCCUGCGCCCUCCAUAUGGCACGUCCACUGCUGUCCUUACACCAACUGGCUUUUCCUUAUUUAGCUGUGAUGCAAUGGCUUGCAUGUCAUCGGUAGCUGUCUUCCCUGGGGCUAACCAAGGACCAAGAACAGGGCAAGUGAUUGAAAAGUGUUGAGUGAUUGAAAAAAUAGAAAUUGCAACUAUCUGGGCCAGGCCCUUGACAGAAUGGAUCUUAUUGAAUGCUCCUCGGUCACCUGUGAGAUACGAGUUACUCUUUCCAUCUUGCACAGGAGAUGUGACUCGGCCGAGUUUAUGUAUCCGCUGAUUUGCAGAACUGGGAUUCAAACCCAUGUGUGUCUCAGUGCUGGUGCAGAGCUCUUCUGCUCUACCAUGUUCCUGGGACAGUAGCUCCAUCCCUGGAUGGAAAGACGUGACAUCAGAGGAGCCACAGACAGGCCACUUCCUCUCAUUCACCUUUUUCCACGUCCCAUUCAGCUGGGACAGCUUCUACUCAGCCUCUCAAGAUCCGUAUCUGUUCCUGCGCUUAGGGAAGUUUCCCUACACCUCUCACACCACCCAGGGGAGGUAAGGAAAGGAGUUUUCCAUGUGGUCACUGGACGUGAGUAACCACCUCUUCUUCCUGUGACUUCCCCACCUCUGCACUGGGGCUUGGAAAACCCCACCCAUGUCUUCUAAUAAAAGCUCUGGGUACUGCAGGAUGGGCCAGAGGACAGCUCUUCACUCCACCAGACUCCUUGAGGGACUCCUUCCAGGGAGGCCUGAGCUGGACGUCCCGAGAUGAAGGUCAUCACCGCCGCUCUGGUGUGCCUGCUGCUGGCCGGGGCAUGGCUACAGGAUGUGGAUGCCAAGAGCAAAAGAAUUCUCCCUGAAGAGGAGGAAGGGAGGACUUGCUCGGGGGCAGGGGGACAGCAGGAGAGCCAUAAGCCUGGGGCCAACACAGACCGCUGAGCAGCUGGCUUCAGCCAAAGGAGGCCAGCCUCGUCCAGACCCUGCGGACUGAUGGAGGGCAGCUGUGAGGUCAUUGAGGCCAAGCUGGAGGCCUGAGGUCCAGAGGAGGGACUGACUGGGGUCUCGCCUCCACUGUGUAACAGAUAACGGGCAGAGUCUGAGGUCAGGAUCUGGGGCUUUAACAGGUGGCUAACCUUGGGCAAGUUACUAUACCUCCCAAACUCUGGUUUCGCUAUCAGUAAGAUGGGUUUGAUCAUGCCUACCCUCUAAGGCUGAUGAGAGAAUACUGACCUAACAGCAGACACAUGGAAGGGGCUUUGCAAACGGUCAAACUAGGAGGAAGGAGCCAGGAUUGAAAUGCAAGUCUUUUGAAGGUGGGGUGUGUGUAGCGGGGGUUACAAACCGGCAGAGUGGGAGUUGUGGGUCAGAGCUGAGAGGACCAGGGUGGAGGGUGAGGUUGGGAUUGCGUGGAGCUGAUCAGUUCCUGGAAGCUCUUGCCUGGUCAUUUCAUCAGUCUGAGCUCCUAAAACAGUCCCUAAUCCUGCCCCAGAUAGUGGACUGCUGUUGAAUCAGACUCACAGGGUCUCAGGGCCCUUGAACCCAAAUGUAAGGGCAGAACCAUACCCUAGUGGUGGGAUGUCAGAACUAGAAUAGCCUUUCGAAAUCAGUCUAAAGAGUCUUGCUUUUCAGCUGGGAAGUCGGGGGCCCAGGGGAGGGCUCAUCUUGACCAAAGGCACACAGCUGUUUUGUGGGGAGCUGGGAUCUGAACCCCAGUGUCCUGACUGCCUAAAUACAGAACUGGGUGGCUGAUGAGACACUAGUGCCCUUUGGAUGUGAUCCCAAAGCCUGAGCCUGUUCUGGAAGGGUUUUUUGUUUUUGCUUUUUUCCCCAUCCUGGAUGAGAGGAACUCGGUCCAGCUUGAGAAAUGGAUGCAAACCAUUUUUGCGCUUCUCUUCUAGUGCAUGUACCAUCCUCCAAGUGUUGUUUCACACUGGUGGAGAGAAAGAUGUCCCUGCAGAGCAUCCAGUGUUACAAGAACACCAGCUCCACCUGCUCCUACAAAAACCAUCUAAUAUUGAAGCUGA